rnacentral:rRNA from 1 species
UACAGAGGGGGCAAGCGUUAUUCGGAAUUAUUGGGCGUAAAGGGCGCGUAGGCGGCUUGGCAAGUCUGCUGUGAAAACUCGAGGCUCAACCUCGAGCUGUCGGUGGAAACUGCUUGGCUAGAGUCCGGAAGAGGAGAGUGGAAUUCCUGGUGUAGCGGUGAAAUGCGCAGAUAUCAGGAAGAACACCGAUGGCGAAGGCAGGUCUCUGGGCAUUAACUGACGCUGAGGAGCGAAAAGCAUGGGGAGCGAACAGG